AUUGAACGCUGGCGGCAUGCCUUACACAUGCAAGUCGAACGGUAACGGGCCUUCGGGUGCCGACGAGUGGCGAACGGGUGAGUAAUGUAUCGGAACGUACCUUUCAGUGGGGGAUAACGUAGCGAAAGUUACGCUAAUACCGCAUAUUCUGGGAGCAGGAAAGCAGGGGAUCGCAAGACCUUGCGCUGAUUGAGCGGCCGAUAUCAGAUUAGCUAGUUGGUGAGGUAAAGGCUCACCAAGGCGACGAUCUGUAGCGGGUCUGAGAGGAUGAUCCGCCACACUGGAACUGAGACACGGUCCAGACUCCUACGGGAGGCAGCAGUGGGGAAUUUUGGACAAUGGGGGCAACCCUGAUCCAGCCAUGCCGCGUGAGUGAAGAAGGCCUUCGGGUUGUAAAGCUCUUUCGGCCGGGAAGAAAUCGUAUCAGCUAAUACCUGGUGCGGAUGACGGUACCGGCAUAAGAAGCACCGGCUAACUACGUGCCAGCAGCCGCAGUAACAC
rnacentral:rRNA from 1 species